rnacentral:rRNA from 1 species
UUGGAGGGCAAGUCUGGUGCCAGCAGCCGCGGUAAUUCCAGCUCCAAUAGCGUAUAUUAAAGUUGUUGCAGUUAAAAAGCUCGUAGUUGAAUUUCGGGGUUAGUAGGUUGGUCAUGCCUCUGGUAUGUACUGGUCUCACUGAUUCCUCCUUCCUGAUGAGCCGUAAUGCCAUUAAUUUGGUGUUGCGGGGAAUUUGGACUGUUACUUUGAAAAAAUUAGAGUGUUUAAAGCAAGCUAACGCUUGAAUACAUUAGCAUGGAAUAAUGAAAUAGGACGUUCGAUCCUAUUUUGUUGGUUUCUAGGAUUGACGUAAUGAUUAAUAGGGAUAGUUGGGGGCAUUAGUAUUCAAUUGUCAGAGGUGAAAUUCUUGGAUUUAUUGAAGACUAACUACUGCGAAAGCAUUUGCCAAGGAUGUUUUCAUUAAUCAAGAACGAAAGUUAGGGGAUCGAAGACGAUCAGAUACCGUCGUAGUCUUAACCAUAAACUAUGCCGAUUAGGGAUCGGAUGAUGUUAAUUUUUUAAUGACUCAUUCGGCGCCUUACGGGAAAC